CAAAAUCAAAGAGAAUGUUUUCACUUCAAAGUUGUGAUAAUGUUUCAGGUGCAGUUUCACAGUACAGACGAGGACUGACCUGUAUGUAUUGCUCCAAUGUACAGCUGAAGAACAUAAGAAUAUUACAGAAUUCAGAAGAAACUGGACUGUAACCUGUGUCAAGUGCAGCGGUGCACUAAUUGGGGUUCCCGGUCACUUUACGAAGAAAACACCAAUUUAAAAAAACAACAACAAAAAAACAACUCAUGUUGACCUUGUUCAUGUCGGCCUAAUGACCGUGUUGACCUAAUUCAGGUGUCGACCUAGUCACUGUCGACCAAUAGUGGUCAACCUAAUGACUGUCGACCAUGUUACUGCCGACCCUAUGAUCCACACCCGGCUUAAAUACAGAAGCAUAGUGAAGGAAACAAGAUAUAAAGCAGCAAAACUGGAUAAUGAGCAAACAAAAACAAGGAUAAAUUUGGAUAUAAGGCUUGGAAACGAGAGAAAGCAAGGUUAGCAAAGAGAAAGGAGGACUCAGGUUUUCACAGCGAUCUUCUAAAAUGGAGAGAUUUUCCACAAAGUCCCAAGUAUUCUGAAUAAUAGAUCACAUACCUAUAAAAGUGUAACCAUUAAGUGAAUACCUCUUGGAGAAUGAUCUGCUGUCUUAUAAAUAUUUGAAUGGUGAGUAUUGGAAAGUAUUCUUUUACAAACCCAUCUGUAAAGGUGGUCUUUACUUUGCAGAGCGCUGUGUACUUGAAAUGCCGAUGAUACUUUAUAAGCCACAGCAGGACGCCGUUCUCUGCAUUAAAUCCAUCGAAAAUAUCUAAAGUCUACUUUAUGUUUGUGUUCCCAGUUUUCAUGGAGAAGUCCUGAGGUGUAGUCUGAAUACGUUACUGAAAGGCAGGAGUGCGGUAAUAGAUAAAGAUUCCAUAGCUGAAUUUUGACAAUGGUUUUGUGUGAAAUCCUGCCUCUGCGUUGAAACAUGACUAAUAAAGCUAUUAUGGUAACUGUGCAA